rnacentral:rRNA from 1 species
AUUGAACGCUGGCGGCAUGCCUAACACAUGCAAGUCGAGCGGAUGAAGGGAGCUUGCUCCUGGAUUCAGCGGCGGACGGGUGAGUAAUGCCUAGGAAUCUGCCUGGUAGUGGGGGAUAACGUCCGUAAACGGGCGCUAAUACCGCAUACGUCCUGAUGGAGAAAGUGGGGGAUCUUCGGACCUCACGCUAUCAGAUGAGCCUAGGUCGGAUUAGCUAGUUGGUGGGGUAAAGGCCUACCAAGGCGACGAUCCGUAACUGGUCUGAGAGGAUGAUCAGUCACACUGGAACUGAGACACGGUCCAGACUCCUACGGGAGGCAGCAGUGGGGAAUAUUGGACAAAGGGCGAAAGCCUGAUCCAGCCAUGCCGCGUGUGUGAAGAAGGUCUUCGGAUUGUAAAGCACUUUAAGUUGGGAGGAAGGGCAGUAAGUUAAUACCUUGCUGUUUUGACGUUACCAACAGAAUAAGCACCGGCUAACUUCGUG